UACGUAGGGUGCGAGCGUUAAUCGGAAUUACUGGGCGUAAAGCGUGCGCAGGCGGUUCGUUAAGUUCGUCGUGAAAGCCCCGGGCUCAACCUGGGAAUGGCGAUGGAAACUGGCGGGCUGGAGUAUGGCAGAGGGGGGUGGAAUUCCGCGUGUAGCAGUGAAAUGCAUAGAUAUCGUCAAGAACACCGAUAGCGAAGGCAGCUUACCAAGCUGUAACUGACACUGAGGCACGAAAGUGUGGGGAUCAAACAGG
rnacentral:rRNA from 1 species